CUUUGACAUCAGAUGCUUUCCAGCUCAUUGAAAAGUGUUCUGAUUAUGUAAUGUUUAUGUUUAGGAUUAGGAUUAUGUUCACAGAGGAAGGGUCCAGAUUAGGAUUAGGAUUAUGUUCACAGAGGAAGGGUCCAGAUUAGGAUUAGGAUUAUGAUUAUGUUCACAGAGGAAGGGUCCAGGUUAGAGUUAGGAUUAUGUUCACAGAGUAAGGGUCCAGGUUAGAGUUAGGAUUAUGUUCACAGAGUAAGGGUCCAGGUUAGAGUUAGGAUUAUGUUUAAAUUCACAGAGUAAGGGUCCAGGUUAGAUAGGAUUAGGAUUAUGUUUAUAUUUAAAGUCACAGAGUAAGGGUCCAGGUUAAAGUUAGGAUUAUG
ensembl:lncRNA